rnacentral:rRNA from 1 species
GAGGAGCUGCAGGAGCACGAGGAACAUCUACGCGUGACCUUGGACCUUCUCCCCGAGCAUCAACUGUUCGCCAAGGCCUCCAAGUGCUCGUUUACACAAACUAGCAUCGAGUACUUGGGCCAUAUCAUCUCCAAGGACGGCGUGGCAACGGACCCCAGCAAGACCAGUGCGAUGAACGCCUGGCCCGUUCCAACAAACCAAACCGAGUUGCGUGGUUUCCUCGGCUUAACUGGCUACUACCGCAAGUUCGUACCCCACUACGGCAUCAUCGCCAAGCCCCUGACACAGCUGCUCACCAAGAAAGGCUUCGAGUGGAACGAGAAGGCCCAGGACGCAUUCUUCAUGCUCAAGAAGGCGAUGGUGAGCACAACCGUGCUCGCACUGCCGGACUGUGCGCGCCCAUUCACCAUCGAGACCGAUGCUUGUGACACUGGCUUGGGCGCGGUGCUCAUGCAAGAUGGUCACCCUGUGGCCUACCUUAGCAAGGCCUUGGGCGUGCGCAAUCAGAAGCUUUCAACCUACAAAAAGGAAUUCUUGGCGGUGAUGAUGGCAAUAGACAAGUGGAGACCAUAUCUUCAGCGGGCGCCAUUCGAGAUCGUCACCGACCACAAGAGCCUCUGCGCCCUUGGCGACCAACAAUUGGCGACGGAACUGCAGCGCAAGGCCAUGGCGAAGAUGGUCGGCCUCCAAUUUACCUUCCGCUACAAGCGCGGCACCAACAACGGUGCAGCGGAUGCGCUGUCGCGUGUCGGCCACCUGAUGGCUCUCGACGCGCUAUCCCUGUGCCAACCACAAUGGCUCCAGGAGGUCGCAAACUCUUAUGCGGCGGACCAGGACGACCAGGAGUUGCUCGCCAAGCUAGCCGUCAUCGACACCGACGACCAGGGGCGCACCCUGCAGCAAGGCGUCAUCAGACAGCGCGGGCGCCUCUGGAUUGGCGCAAAUUCAGCCCUGCAGACGAAGCUCAUCUUGGCGCUGCAC